CUAUAUCAAGAGCAGCGUGGCCGGCACGCUCAGCGGCGUCGGGGACUGGGACGUGAACUACUACGCGAAGCUCGCGUCGGCGCAGCAGACGACGUCGAACAACGGGGAGGGGCCGUGUUAUCCCAACUUUUUCGUGUACACGCCGAUCCUGAAUCGAUGCGUCCCGGUGCCCUCCGACGCGAUGUACACCGCGCUCGAGACAUCUUCACCGAGCGCGUUUGGUGGUUCCUCCGGAUUGUCGGUCUCCAUUCUGAAGGCGCUCAUCAACGCGCUCGACACCGGAAGCGGCGGCGUCAGCGACUACAUCGAAGACGUGUACAAGGCGUGGAUGGCGAUCGU
rnacentral:lncRNA from 1 species